AAGAGCACCUAUCUUGCCAUCUAAACCCCCUAAGGAGACCAAAGAGAUGGAUGAAAAUAAGAGUAAGAAGGGUCUUGCCGAGAUAUAUGAGGAAGAAUAUGCGCAGAAGACGGGUCUAGCUCCAGCUCUUCUUUCUGCUUCUGAUAAACUUAAGAUUGAGGCAACAAUGCUAUUCAAAAAGAUUUCCUUAAAGUUGGAUGCGCUGUCUCACUUCCAUUUUGCUCCAAAGCCGGUUAUUGAGGACAUGUCUAUACAAGUCAAUGUACCU